AGUGAACGCUGGCGGUAGGCCUAACACAUGCAAGUCGAACGGCAGCACAGUAAGAGCUUGCUCUUACGGGUGGCGAGUGGCGGACGGGUGAGGAAUACAUCGGAAUCUACUUUUUCGUGGGGGAUAACGUAGGGAAACUUACGCUAAUACCGCAUACGACCUACGGUUGAAAGCAGGGGAUCUUCGGACCUUGCGCGAUUGAAUGAGCCGAUGUCGGAUUAGCUAGUUGGCGGGGUAAAGGCCCACCAAGGCGACGAUCCGUAGCUGGUCUGAGAGGAUGAUCCGCCCCACUAGCGUUGAGAGCCGUACCAGUACCGAAGGGCAGCCCAGAGUGGGACAUAGUGGAACAGGGGGCAAUAUUGGACCACGCGCGCGAGCGUGGGGCAAGGAGGCCUUGUGUUGGAAAACCGCUUUUGUGGGGAAAAAAACGCACCAGAUUAACGCCUCGUUUUUGUGACGGUACCUAAAGAAGAAGCACCGGCUAACUUCGUG
rnacentral:rRNA from 1 species